GACGUAGGGGGCCAGCGUUGUUCGGAAUUACUGGGUGUAAAGGGUGCGUAGGCGGCGCGGUAAGUCGGGUGUGAAAUCUCGGAGCUUAACUCCGAAACUGCAUUCGAUACUGCCGUGCUUGAGGACUGGAGAGGAGACUGGAAUUUACGGUGUAGCGGUGAAAUGCGUAGAUAUCGUAAGGAAGACCAGUGGCGAAGGCGGGUCUCUGGACAGUUCCUGACACUGAGGCACGAAGGUCAGGGGAGCAAACGGG
rnacentral:rRNA from 1 species